UACAGAGGGUGCAAGCGUUAAUCGGAAUUACUGGGCGUAAAGCGUGCGUAGACGGUUACAUAAGUCGGGUGUGAAAGCCCCGGGCUCAACCUGGGAAUUGCAUUCGAGACUGCGUAGCUAGGGUGCGGAAGAGGGAAGCGGAAUUCCGGUGUAGCGGUGAAAUGCGUAGAUAUCGGAAGGAACACCAGUGGCGAAAGCGGCUUCCUGGUCCAGCACCGACGUUCAGGCACGAAGCGUGGGGAGCAAACAGG
rnacentral:rRNA from 1 species